rnacentral:lncRNA from 1 species
AUAACACUCAUAGAAAAGCACACAAAUAAUAAAGGUACGACUCAAUGAAUUUUCACUAAGGAAAAUAUCAUCUAGAUUUUUAAAAUAGAACAUUGUCACUCCCAGUCUCCCCUUGUGCCACUUUCCAGUCACAAACCCUCUCUCUUCCCCAGAGAUAAUCACUACCCUGACUUCUGUUAUCACAGGGUAGUUUUGCCUGUUUGAACUUUAUGUGAAUGGAAUCAUACAGUCCAUACUCUUUGUGUUUGGAACUCAUCAUUUAUUUUUGUGAGACUCAUACACGUUCCUGCAUGUAGUAAUAGUUGGUCCAUUUCACUGCUCUAUAGGAUUCCAUUGACUAGACUACCAUGUAUGUAGCUAUUCAACAGUGACUAGAACUUUAAAUUGUUUCCAGUUUGAGGGAAUUAUGGAUAGUACUGCUAUAACCAUUCAUGAUUAUGUCCCAUAGUGUACACAUGUACACAUUUCUGUUGAGUCUAUGCCUAGGAGUGGAAUUGCCAGGUCAUAGGUAUAUGUAUAUUCAUGUUUAGUAGAUACUGACAGUUUUCCAAGAUAGUUGCACUAAUUUACACUCCCAGGAGCAAUGUGAGUUCCAUUUGCUCUACCCCUACAUCCUUGCCAGCACUUCAUAUCUAUAUUUUUAUUAUAAGCUAUUCUGAAGAGUAUGCAGUGAUAUCUUAUUGAGGCUUAAUUUGCAUUUCCCUAAUAACUAAUGAUGUUGAGCAAUUUUUCAUAUGACUCACCUUUUAAAUAUAUUCUUUUGUGAAGUGUUUGUUUAUACCUUUGCUCAUUUCUCUCUUGGGUUGUCUUUUUCUUAUUGCUUUGCAGACAUUCUUUAUAUAUUGCACGAAUUUACUAGGGCAGCCAGACAACCAUAAUAAAGUACCACAAACUGGAUGACUUGAAUAACAGAAAUGUAUUUUCUCAAAGUUCUGGAGCCCAGGAGUCUGAGACCAAGGUGCUGGCAGAGUUGGUUCCUUCUGAGGGCUGUGAGGGAGAAUCUGCCCUGGCUUCUGAGGGUCCAUAAAAGCCCCGGGCUUAGCUAGAGCAAGAGAGGAGGGAGAGAACGGAGAGAAGAAGGCACAGGAAGACCAGCUGCAGAGAGGAGCUACCCUCUCUGCUGAGAGCUUCAGAGACCUGCAGAGACAUCCGGACUACCAGCUGCAGACAGGAGCAACCCUCUCCAGGGCCUCCUCUCUGCUGAGAGCAGCAGACGUCGGGAUAACCUGCCUACAGAAAGGAGCUACCCACUGUGGGUCUCCUCUGAGCCGUUCUAACACUUAAUAAAGCUCAUCUUCAUCUUGUUCACCCUUCACUUGUUUGCAUAUCUCAUUCUUCCUGGACACAGGACAAGAACUCAGGCUGGCCACAGAGGUUUCCAGCCAGAAAAUUGACACCUCAAAGAUUC